AAGCUGAAGGAAGCACUGUAGGUGGGGUUACACAUCAGACCACAUCAAAAGCUUCAUCUGGCAAGGAAGAUCAUGCAACAAUUAAUAGUCAUUCUCAGGCUGGAGGUAUAAAUUCAAGACAUGGAACCUCAAAGUCAAUGUCACUUGCAGAUAAUUGUGGUGGGGCACCAAGAGCCACCCAUAAUCAAGGUAAUGAACAUGCAAGUGGAGAGAUGAAGAAUCCUUCAGAUCAUAAUGCUGAUGGCGAGUCUUCAGAUUAUGUAGACCAAGGAAUAGUGGUGCCUCGCCAUGAGAAUAUGGGGGAAGCUCAAAACACAUGGAGACAUGCAUCCCAUGGAAAAGAAGAUCAAGAAAGGAAUGCUGCUAGAAGUGAAAUAAGUGAAACAGGGGAAUUAAAAGACAAACAUUUUGGU
rnacentral:misc_RNA from 1 species